rnacentral:rRNA from 1 species
UCAAGUAAAGGAAGAGCACAAGGUGAAUGCCUUGGCUGCAUAAGGCGAUGAAGGACGUAAUAACCUGCGAUAAGCCUCGGGGAGCUGGUAAAUAAGCUUCGAUCCGAGGAUUUCCGAAUGGGAAAACCCAAUAUACGUAAGUAUAUUAUCUUAUACUGAAUACAUAGGUAUAAGAGGCGAACCUGGGGAACUGAAACAUCUAAGUACCCAGAGGAAAAGAAAUCAACAGAGAUUCCGGUAGUAGCGGCGAGCGAAACCGGACCAGCCCUUAAGCUUAUUUUAGUCCAGCAAAAUAUUCUGGAAAGUUUGACCAUAGUGGGUGAUAGUCCCGUAUGCGAAAGACUAAUUUAAGUGAAAUCGAGUAGGUCGGAACACGUGAAAUUCUGACUGAAUAUGGGGGGACCAUCCUCCAAGGCUAAAUACUCUAUGCAGACCGAUAGUGAACCAGUACCGUGAGGGAAAGGCGAAAAGAACCCCGGCGAGGGGAGUGAAAUAGAACCUGAAACCUUGUGCUUACAAGCAGUCGGAGCAGACUUGUUCUGUGACGGCGUACCUUUUGUAUAAUGGGUCAACGACUUAAUUUCAGUAGCAAGCUUAACCAUAUAGGGUAGGCGUAGGGAAACCGAGUCUUAAUAGGGCGCUCAGUUGCUGGAAUUAGACCCGAAACCGGGUGAUCUAUCCAUGGCCAGUGUGAAGGUCGAGUAACAUCGACUGGAGGCGCGAACCCACUUAUGUUGAAAAAUGAGGGGAUGAGCUGUGGAUAGGAGUGAAAGGCUAAUCAAACCCGGAGAUAGCUGGUUCUCUUCGAAAACUAUUUAGGUAGUGCCUCGUGUAUUACUGUAGGGGGUAGAGCACUGUUUCGGCUAGGGGGUCAUCCCGACUUACCAAACCGAUGCAAACUCCGAAUACCUACAAGUAUGAGCACGGGAGACAGACUGCGGGUGCUAACGUCCGUAGUCGAGAGGGAAACAACCCAGACUGUCAGCUAAGGUCCCUAAUUAUGAUUAAGUGGGAAACAAUGUGGGAAGGCACAAACAGCUAGGAAGUUGGCUUAGAAGCAGCCAUCUUUUAAAGAAAGCGUAAUAGCUCACUAGUCGAGUCGGCCUGCGUGGAAGAUAUAACGGGGCUAAAUCAUAAACCGAAGCUACAGAUCUUAAAUUUAUUUAAGAUGGUAGAAGAGCGUUCUGUAAGCGGAUGAAGGUGAGCUGAGAGGCGAGCUGGACGUAUCAGAAGUGCGAAUGUUGACAUGAGUAACGAUCAAAGAGGUGAAAAACCUCUUCGCCGAAAAACCAAGGGUUCCUGUCCAACGCUAAUCGUGGCAGGGUGAGGCGGCCCCUAAGGCGAGGGCGAAAGCCGUAGUCGAUGGGAAACAGGUUAAUAUUCCUGUACUUUUUAUAACUGCGAUGGGGUGACGGAGAAGGUUAGGCUAGCACGGCGACGGUUGUCCGUGUUCAAGGUUGUAGGCUGGUGUUCUAGGUAAAUCCGGAACGCCAUAUAGGCUGAGGACUGAUAACGACCACUCUACGAGUGGGAAGUAGCUGAUACCAUGCUUCCAGGAAAAACCUCUAAGCUUCAGGUUAUAAGAAACCGUACCCUAAACCGACACAGGUGGUUAGGUCGAGUAGACCAAGGUGUUUGAGAGAACUAUGGUGAAGGAACUAGGCAAAAUAGCACCGUAACUUCGGGAGAAGGUGCGCUACGUUUGGUGAUGGGACUUGCUCCUUGAGCUAAACGUAGUCGAAGAUACCAGGUGGCUGCGACUGUUUACUAAAAACAUAGCACUCUGCAAACUCGUAAGAGGAAGUAUAGGGUGUGACGCCUGCCCGGUGCCGGAAGGUUAAUUGAUGGGGUUAGCGUAAGCGAAGCUCUUGAUCGAAGCCCCGGUAAACGGCGGCCGUAACUAUAACGGUCCUAAGGUAGCGAAAUUCCUUGUCGGGU